AAAUUGAAGAGUUUGAUCAUGGCUCAGAUUGAACGCUGGCGGCAGGCCUAACACAUGCAAGUCGAGCGGAAACGAGUUAUCUGAACCUUCGGGGAACGAUAACGGCGUCGAGCGGCGGACGGGUGAGUAAUGCCUAGGAAAUUGCCCUGAUGUGGGGGAUAACCAUUGGAAACGAUGGCUAAUACCGCAUGAUGCCUU
rnacentral:rRNA from 1 species